UUUUUUUAUAUAGAUGAAUGUUAAAUGCUUUUAUGAAGGUUUACCUAAGUCAAAACUUAAUCAUGCUCCUGUAAAGUUUCAAGUCCAAAAUCCAGAAAUUUCAGAUGAUAGUGAUUUGUUUACAGACUCUGAUGAAGAAAUAAAUCCAGAAAUUGUAGAAUGUGGCGAUUUAUAUAGUGAAACUGAUGAAGAAAUUAUAUUAACUGAUACAGAAGAUGAAGUCUGAGAUAAUCAAUCUGAUAAAAAUGAUUUUCAGCUAACUCAGCAUAAAAAAACUAGCAAAAAAACAUUGAAGUCAGAUUUGGUAUGGAAGAAAGAGAAUCCAGAGGAUAUUCUGAAAAAAACUCUUCAAUAUCAGAAUGAUAAUAAAAUAAACGAUGAUUUAGACAUUGUUGAACCUAUUCAGUAUGUAAAACGUUUUUUAAGUGACCAAAUGUUGCAAUUAAAUUGUCGAUGAAUCUAAUAAAUAUGCUAUUCAAAAGAAUCCUAUCAAACCACUUCAGCUCGAUAAAAAUGAACUUGAGCAGUUUAUCGGAAUUUUAUAUGCUAUGAGCAUUGUUCAAAUGCCAUCGACCAGAAUGUAUUGGAGUAAGGAGUUAUACUUUGAAUAAAUUGGAGAAGUUAUGACUGUCAACAGAUUUGAACAAAUCAAGUUAGUUUUUCAUUGCAAUGAUAACAAUAAAUUUUACAAUAAUCAUGGAGAUUAGUUAUACAAGGUGCGACCUAUCAUUAAUAUGUUAAAAGACUCCUUUUCAAAACUGAAACAUGAAGAAAUGUUAUGCCUUGAUGAACAGGUUGUUCCUUAUAAAGAGAAAACGAGAAUAAGAAGGAACGCAUUGUAAAGACAGAAUAUAAAUAUAAAACAAAUAUAGCAACACAUUUUGAACGUGUAUCUUUAUUUUUCGAUAAUUAUAUUCAAGAUGAUUAAUGAUUA